rnacentral:rRNA from 1 species
UACUAGAGUAGCACUCGCAUAUCAAUAAGCGGAGGAAAAGAAACUAACAAGGAUUCCCCUAGUAACGGCGAGUGAAGCGGGAAGAGCUCAAAUUUGAAAUCUUAAAGGGUUUCCCUUUACGAAUUGUAGUUUAAAGAAGUGUUUUCUGUUGAGGUUUUGGUAAAAGUUCUUUGGAAUAGGACAUCAUAGAGGGUGAGAAUCCCGUAUUUGACCUUUACUUUCAACUUUGUGAUACACUUUCAAAGAGUCGGAUUGUUUGGGAAUGCAGUCCAAAAUGGGUGGUAAAUUUCAUCUAAAGCUAAAUAUUGGCGAGAGACCGAUAGCGAACAAGUACCGUGAGGGAAAGAUGAAAAGAACUUUGAAAAGAGAGUUAAACAGUACGUGAAAUUGUCAAAAGGGAAGCGUUUGACACCAGUGUUGUUUUUCUGAAAAUCAAUUAAAGAACUGUUUAUGCUAAGCUGUUUAGACUUUAUCAGCUAUCUGUUUAGUUUUGAGCUUUUCUUUAAUGCACUUUUCAGUUAACAAGUCAACAUCAAUUUCUUUUGCUGUAAAAAAGCUUGAGGAAGGUGGCUUGAGAUUCGUCUUAAGUGUUUAUAGCCUCUCGCCUAUGCAGUCGGAGAGAUUGAGGUCUGCAGCGUAGAUCCUUCGGGGCUAAAUGCAUUUGUGCUAAGUUAUAGCAUUUUAUAGACAACUUGUUGACUAUGAUUUGUCUUGUAGCUUACUCGCUUAUGUUAUUUUACCUACGCUUAGGAUGUUGAGUAGCGACAUACGCAC